GUGAAGCCCUGAUGGUAUUGUUUAAAUGUCCCAAAAUGUCCUUUGAGCCCAGGGUAAUUUUUCCCCAAGUUCCUCACUGGAGUAUUCAACCUGACUUAGACCUGACUUGAAACCUCCAUUCCUUCCAUCUCACUUGGAAUCAGGAUCUCAACUGAAGAGGAAAGGAAUUAGAACAAAAGUCAUGUCCCUGGACUAUGUUAAAGUAAUCUAAUCCCUAUUCUGGGUGCUUUGAUAAAAUGCCUCAUGCUCUGUCUUUGUAGGCCCAACCAAGCUAGCCGUUGCUUUUCUCCUCACCAUGGUCUUGGCCUCUUGACCUUGCAUCUGAUUUUUCUCCCAUGACAAACACUCACCCUUUUUAAUGAAUUCUUUGUUUGGACUACUAGACUUAAAACUUCACUUUCCCCAAGAUUCUGUUUUGCUUUCCCUUUGCCCUACAAUGUUUUCCUUUGUGAAGCUUCAUGUUCUUAGCAAACUCCAUGCCAGCCUUCAGAAACCCAGGCAAGAACAAAGCACUCAGGUCCCUACAUGCUAAGGAAAAGAACUCAAAUGUGGAUAAUGUUGUAAGAAAACUAAAGAAAAAGAGAGAAAAGUUAACCCAAGAAGAACAAGAGCUCUCUCCAUAGGAGUAGCAAGUGAGACCAAUAGCUUUCCCCAUUUUGGCAAUGAUGAAUGCCAGUGGGACUGGUUUUUGCAAGAGUUAGGCUCAGCUGCUUUCCAGUUAGCGACAAAGUUCCUAUACCCCCACUGCAAAUGGUACUUGAACUUCUCACUGAAUGAGGCCAUGCGGAAGGAAAGAGGAUAAGCAUAUCUCUAGGACAAGAAAGCUCAAAUGCCUGCCACUGCAAACAUAAAGACUCUAGCUCUUCGCUGAAAAAUAGAAAGGAAAUGGGGGAGGGGCAACUCCUGAAAUCGUUAGUGGAGGGAAACCACUGUUAAGAAUUACUGAGGUCUUUGUUGUCCUUCCUCUAAUGGUCUGCCCCAUGGGGCAGAAAAGUUACAGAUGUUGCCUCAACAAAACCCUCUGAACGGAAAAGAGUAAUGCAGCUCUUCUAGACUUGGAGCCAGAAGACCCAAAUUCACAUUCAGUGACAAUUGUCAUGUGCCAUCUCCCACAAGUCAGUUAGUUAGCCCUCUAAAUCUUGGUUUCCCCAUUAAAAGAGAGAGAGAGAGAUUCAUCUCAUAUUAUUGUUGAGAGAAAUAUGAGGUAUUAUAUAAAAAGGAAUUAUUAAACACUAAAGUGCCCUAUUACUUUAAAGUUGCAUCAUGUCUUUUAAUAUUUUCGGACUUAUGGUGUUCAUAGUAUUUGUGAUUUAAAUGAUACAGGCUAAAAAGAAAAUUUGGAUUUUUAGUCCAAAAAAGUGUGAGUAUUAAAAAAAGAUCUCCAGCAGGAUAGAGACAAUAGUAUGAUAAUAUGAUGAAUUUUGGAGUCAAACCUCAGUGAAAAUCCAGGGUCUGCAAUGUAUUAACUACAUAAUCAUAAUUUGUCACUUUUCAUGCCGAGAUCUCCUCACCUGUGAAUAAUUCUUGACAUUGUUUUCAGGAUUAAAUGAGAGCACAGCAGAACAUAAGAUUAGAUUUCUUUCUCUUUACAUAGAUGAGAAGCAAUAAUGGAGAAGUUCUGACUGCCCGGGCAUGAAGAAAAGGGGAGCUGAGGACACAGAAACUGCUUGGUCAUGUAUAAUAAUAUUUCUGGCAUUAAAAAAAAAAAAGAAUGAAAUUGGGCAAAGACUGGAAGUAAAUUCUCAAAUGAUCUCUCCUAAAGUGCUAAUCAAUCAAAUUUUUGGACAAGAUAGAGAGGACAGGAGUUCCCAUUGUGGCCCAAUAGGAUGGGCAUUAUCUCUGGAAUGUUGGGAUGCAGCUUCAGUCCCCAGCCUGGCACAGUGGGUUAAGGAUCUGGCAUUGCCACAAUGCAACCGUGACCCACAUCUGAUGGUGGCAAAAAAGAAAAAAAAAUGAUUGAGAGGACACACAAAAGGAGAAAAACAAAACUAUGAGUUUUAAUGACAAAGGUGGAAGAAUAUCUCACUUUAUGUAAACUUUUCCCCUUUUCUCAUCUCUGCACAUAUGUUUUACUUAUUUACAUAUGUGCAAUGAAACAAUUCUAAUCAAUAAUGAUGACAUCAGUAAAUAAUGAAGAAUGAUUUCUCUUACCCAAGAGAGAAUAUCUGCCUUAAAUUUUGUUCCUUUGUUCUGAUUGGUCACUCACUCUCACCUGGUAUGUUAAUACAUACUUAUUGCAAGAGAACAACAGCAGGGACUGUAUAUAAAUAACCUCUAUUCUUUAGUGAUACCUCAACCUGGACUUAAAAGCGACAGACACCUGUUAGAGUCUGGUAAAGUUAAAUGAAUAGAUAUUUUCAAGAGAAACUCUAGAUAAGAUUAGGCAAAAUAAGUCUGGGUCUUUAGUGGUCUAUCGUAAACAAAUUUCAGCAGGUAUGUUUUACAGCAAUCACCCUUGUUAUUCAGAAUUCCAUCUACUUCAGCUUACUUCCUCUUUCAGGAUAACAGCCCAGAGAGAUCAUUAUUUCUGAAAUAAUGCAAGACCCAAAAGACAAUAAUUCUUUCCCACAUGAUUAAUGAUAUUUUUAUAUCUAACCACUUUCAUAAAUUUUAUUAUGUUUAUUGCCAUUUUACAUAUUAGGAAACUGAGUGUUUCUUAUCUGAAGGAAUGUCAGAUAAGUGAAAAAAAUUAAAUCACAUUUUUCUUUCCCUUGAGUAUGGGGGAGACAUCCUGACUCAUUGGCUGAGUUGAUAGAAUAGAAAGUGACUUUAGUCCAAGACAAAUGACCAACCCAGGGGCCCAAACAGAAAAGACCUUCAUCCUAGACUUCUUUCUAUUGCUUUAUCCUUGCUCAUUUAUUUGUCAUUUAUUUCAAAGAUUAAUAAAUGGUAAGAAACUAUAAUAGAAAGUUCAUAUAGGAAAAUAUUUAUAAAA
rnacentral:lncRNA from 1 species